rnacentral:lncRNA from 1 species
AAAAAGUGGGAUUUUGGUGGCACAGGAGGGGCAUUUUGGGGCUAAAAAGUGGGAUUUUGGGGCAAAGGUGGACAGGGUGGGGUGUGAGGUGCGAUUUUGGGGCUGAAAAAGGCAGGAUUUGGGGCUCACAGCUGCAGCUGCCUGCUCUGCUGUCUCUUUGGGGGCACAACGGGGUCGUUUGGGGGCUAAAAUGGGGGAUUUUGGAGCACAGGAGGGGCAUUUUGGGGCUAAAAUGUGGGAUUUUGGGGCAAAGGUGGUCAGGAUAGAGCGUGAGGUGCCAUUUUGGGGCUGAAAAAGGCAGCAUUUGGGGCUCACAGCUGCCUGCUCUGCUGUCUCUUUGGGGGCACAAUGGGGUUGUUUUGGGGCUAAAAUGUGGGAUUUCGGAGCACAGGAGGGGCAUUUUGGGGGUAAAAAAUGGGAUUUUGGGGGCAAAAGUGAUCAGGGUGGGGUGUGAGGUGCCAUUUUUGGGCUGAAAAAGGCAGGAUUUGGGGCUUGCAGCUGCAGCUGCCUGCUCUGCUGCCUCUUUGGGGGCACAACGGG